rnacentral:rRNA from 1 species
GCCCCGCCGUAACACAGCAAUUAAACAACCAAUUGCUCGCCAAAUAACUACGAGUAAAAACUUAAAAUUUAAAAGACUUGACGGUACUUCACAACAACCUAGAGGAGCCUGUCCAAUAACCGAUAAUCCACGAUUAACCCAACCCGUUUUUGCCUACAGUCUAUAUACCGCCGUCGCCAGCUUACCUUGUGAAAGAAACAAAGCAAGCUAGAUAGUACCACACUAAUACGACAGGUCGAGGUGUAACUUAUAAGCGGGACAAAGAUGGGCUACAUUUUCUCAACCAGAAAACACGAAUAUAGCAUGAAACAGCAACCUGAAGGCGGAUUUAGCAGUAAGACAAAAAUAGAACGUUUAUCUGAAAUUAACGCAAUGAAGUGCGUACACACCGCCCGUCACCCCUGUAGAUAUCCACAAACAUCCAUAAACACAUAACAUUCUAUAAGCAGGGUAAGUCGUAACAUGGUAAGCGUACUGGAAAGUGUGCUUAGAU